CAGAAUGAGAGCAGCUUCUGGAUGCUGCAAAAAGCCCAGCAGGAUCCAGGUGGAGAAAGAGGCCCUUUCAAGGCUGAACCAGGUUGGAAGAGGGCUGAGCUGCUUCCAGGACACUGGAGCGUGCAAUGCGUGUGAACAGCAGAUUACAAAUAAUCUUGAACCCUGUAGGAUCUUCACGGACCCUCCGGUCUGAGAGUGAAACUCAGCAAGUUCUCGUAUUACAAUCCAAAUGCAAAUCCAUGUCAAUCCUACUGUAGAUUUCCUGGAGCUGUGAAGAUUGUUCUGCUGAUAUCCGGGAGAUAGAGUUCAACAGGCGCAUCUCCUAAAAGAUUCAUUUCCAGGAGCAGUGGGAUUCCAGACAUUCUGUCUUUUGCCAUUAUCAAUGAAAAAUAUGUUGUCUGCCAUAUCAGUAAACAAAGGAUGUUGCAGCCAUCAAGCCAUCACAUUACAGCCUCCCUGACACAAGGAUGCCCACCAUCAAACCGUCAGACACUGCACCCUGAGGAGAAUCAAGACGAGAAAGCAAAGGAUACUGACCCUAGAUAGCUGAAGUGCACAUCAAAGGAACGAUUUCUGUGAGCCCAGACUCUUGCGUCUUCCCAUACACGGAAAAGUGCUACAUUCCUUAACUUGAGAUAGCUGGUUUUCUUUGAUUAACAAUAAUCUUUGGAUGUUCUGACUACCUGGUCUUUGUUUACUCCUAUAUAUACGGGCUCCUCCCUUGCCUCUUUGGAGCAGUCCCUUAGAGCUAUCUGAGAGGCUGUGUCCUGGGCUUAAGUCCUCA